rnacentral:rRNA from 1 species
UACGAAGGGGACUAGCGUUGUUCGGAAUUACUGGGCGUAAAGCGCACGUAGGCGGAUUUGUUAGUCAGGGGUGAAAUCCCGGGGCUCAACCUCGGAACUGCCUUUGAUACUGCAAGUCUCGAGUCCGAUAGAGGUGGGUGGAAUUCCUAGUGUAGAGGUGAAAUUCGUAGAUAUUAGGAAGAACACCGGAGGCGAAGGCGGAUAGCUGGCUAGACACUGACACUCAGAUCCGAAAGUGUGGGGAUCAAACAGG